CCUGAACACUAUCCGGGCCGGAAAUCAGCCUGAUGUACGCGCUGUAUUGGUGAUGGUUGGGGAGAACGAUGAGGGUGCGGCGCGCAACCUUAGUAUACCUUGGAUACCUCAGUCGCCGAACGGUCCUCGGGUACGGGCGGUGCUUGUUGAAAACGCGGAUUGGUCCUAGAUAGUGUAAUACGGUGACCUGUAGCUUACUUGAUCAAUGAGUGUGGUUUGUGUGGGGAAUAACUCACCAGCUGGUCAGAAAUCGUUCGAAUCGCCAUCGCUCCUAGAUAGUGAGCACUUGACUUGAGCUUUGUCCUCAUAGUAAGGACUAUGAAACACUCUAGUUAUGGUAUGUGACGAAUGGAAAUGCUAUAUGACAUGGUACUAUCAUGUUUAAACAACUAUUUGCAAUAGUAUAGGUGCCAACUUAGACGGUAGGUAAUGAUACUUAACUGGAGCCAAAUAAAUGCAAUGGGUUCUUAGGAACAUACUUCUAGAUGGUUAAAGCUUUUACGUAACAAGGGUUGAGCUAUCCCACUAUACAGCCUUCAUGAUCCUUGAGAGUCUUUCAUUUCUAGUUCAUGAUGGUUAAGUCUAGCUGAGUACAUUCUCGUACUCAGGGUUCUAUUCUCAUGUUGUUUUGCAGAUGGGUAGAAAUACUAUGGGUAUUGCAUCAAAUGUUUGUACCCAGCAAUGGGUGAUAAUACACCAAGGGCUAUGGUCACUAUUCUCAUAUAUAUUUUUUUAUUUUAUUUUAUUUAUUUUUUUAGAAAAUGAUUAAGCUAGUUCGUAGUCAACUCAGCAACCGUUUCCCUGGCAAUGGCGCCAAAAAGCUUGUUGACACUUGCUAACACCACUUGAAUACUAGGUUGUUAUCCCCAGCAUGGCACUAGAGUGUACUAUGGUAUUUAUACGCACACAGAUAAAUCCGCAAGCGCACGGAUACCGUUGUAGCUUUUACCUGGUUAAAGGUUUUAUCGUAUCCACAGGGAAACGGGAGAACUGAUCUACGCUCUAACUUAUCCUAGAUAGAUAGGUAGGUGUAAAUAGGAAAGAUGGUAGAAUUGAAUAAGUACAAUAUUAAAGGUAAGAUAACAAUGGGUGAUAAUAUGGGAAUAGAGUGUAGAGCAAUCUAGUAUAUGGGCGAUGGUAGGAGAAUAGAGAGGGUAACUAUGGUUUCUCUACUUCAAAGGGGUAUGUCUAUGUCUGGGACGAACCACGUGAUAAGAAUACACCACAAAGGAUGCUUAUCCAUAGGCCGAUAAACCCUACCCGUCCUGCUAAGAGGAGGCGGACUACAGGGGACCAACGUAACUGCCACCUAUGCGGCCUACCACACGAUCCGACUAGACAGGGGAUAUCCACAAGUAAUCUAGGUCUAAGCACCACACUUACACCUAUACUACAACUCUAACCUAUAUGGUCCUAGAGAUUAAAAGUACUCAAAAUAGUUGUGAACCAGAACAUACAUGGAUAGUAAUUGCAUAAUGAAAUAGAAGUAAAUUACCAGAGUCAUCCCAUGAGCAAGCUUGAUUAGAGCUUGAUCAGGGUGAAGUACAACCGGAGGAAGAACCGACAGGCUGGCCUCUCCUCCAAUCCUCCCUCGCUCUCCGUCUCGCUACUAUCU
rnacentral:lncRNA from 1 species